AUUGAACGCUGGCGGCAUGCCUUACACAUGCAAGUCGAACGGCAGCACGGGAGCAAUCCUGGUGGCGAGUGGCGAACGGGUGAGUAAUAUAUCGGAACGUGCCCGGUCGUGGGGGAUAACGUAGCGAAAGUUACGCUAAUACCGCAUACGAUCUAAGGAUGAAAGCGGGGGACUCGCAAGAGCCUCGCGCGAUUGGAGCGGCCGAUAUCAGAUUAGGUAGUCGGUGGGGUAAAGGCUCACCAAGCCAACGAUCUGUAGCUGGUCUGAGAGGACGACCAGCCACACUGGAACUGAGACACGGUCCAGACUCCUACGGGAGGCAGCAGUGGGGGAAUUUUGGACAAUGGACGCAAGUCUGAUCCAGCCAUUCCGCGUGCAGGAUGAAGGCCCUCGGGUUGUAAACUGCUUUUGUACGGAACGAAAAGGUUUCUAUUAAUACUAGGAGCUCAUGACGGUACCGUAAGAAUAAGCAACCGGCUAACUACGUGCCAGCAGCCG
rnacentral:rRNA from 1 species